UGGGGAAUCUUGCGCAAUGGGCGAAAGCCUGACGCAGCCAUGCCGCGUGAAUGAUGAAGGUCUUAGGAUUGUAAAAUUCUUUCACCGGGGACGAUAAUGACGGUACCCGGAGAAGAAGCCCCGGCUAACUUCGUGCCAGCAGCCGCGGUAAUACGAAGGGGGCUAGCGUUGCUCGGAAUUACUGGGCGUAAAGGGCGCGUAGGCGGACAGUUUAGUCAGAGGUGAAAGCCCAGGGCUCAACCUUGGAAUUGCCUUUGAUACUGGCUGUCUUGAGUACUGGAGAGGUGAGUGGAACUCCGAGUGUAGAGGUGAAAUUCGUAGAUAUUCGGAAGAACACCAGUGGCGAAGGCGACUCACUGGCCCGUUACUGACGCUGAGGCGCGAAAGCGUGGGGAGCAAACA
rnacentral:rRNA from 1 species